rnacentral:rRNA from 1 species
UACAGAGGCCCCAAGCGUUACUGAGAAUCACUGGGUUUAAAGGGUGCGUAGGUGGUCCGUUAAGUCUGUUGUGAAAGCCCUUGGCUCAACCAAGGAAUUGCUUCGGAUACUGGCGGACUUGAGGCUAGUAGAGGUCACUGGAACUGACGGUGGAGCGGUGAAAUGCGUAGAUAUCGUCAGGAACGCCGGUGGUGAAGACGG